UUCGCUGAUACGCGAGGAACCUUACCCGGGCUUGAAAGUUAGUGACCGUUUUAGAGAUAGAAUUUCGCAGCAAUGCGCACGAAACUAGGUGCUGCAUGGUUGUCGUCAGCUCGUGCCGUGAGGUGUCGGCUUAAGUGCCACAACGAGCGCAACCCUUACCGUCGGUUGCCAGCGGGUAAUGCCGGGGACUUCGAUGGGACUGCCACCGUAAGGUGUGAGGAAGGUGGGGAUGACGUCAAAUCAGCACGGCCCUUACGUCCGGGGCGACACACGUGUUACAAUGGUCGGUACAGAGGGCUGCUACUAGGCGACUAGAUGCUAAUCUCGAAAGCCGAUCUCAGUUCGGAUCGGAGUCUGCAACUCGACUCCGUGAAGUUGGAUUCGCUAGUAAUCGCAUAUCAGCCAUGAUGCGGUGAAUACGUUCCCGG
rnacentral:rRNA from 1 species